rnacentral:lncRNA from 1 species
UGUUGUAGUCUUCAAACUUUGAUUUUUCAACUCUUUUAAGUAAAGUUGUAAUCUGUUUCAAUAUUGCCAAAAACAAGAAUUUAAAUUUUGUUUUUCAAAUUCUAAAAAAUAUAGUAAUUUUAACGUUUCAGUGUUGUAACAAGUCUAUUUUGUCUGGCCCAAGCCUAAAUCAACAAAAACCAAAAUAUAAAAAAUAAUUAAAUUACAAAUCCAAACACAAAAAAAACUAAGCCCAAAAUUACAACAGCCCAUAGCCCAAAAACUUAAGAAUUUUCACCAAAAAAAGAGAGGGCAGAAACCCUAGCUCCCAUGUACGCCGCUCCUCCUCGGGCGCACCGCUUGCGCCUCAUCCCGAGGCCUGACCCCUUUGCUCAGCCUUGCACCGAAAUGGCAAGGUCUCUUCUCCAUUGACCAAGCAAAACCUGCAAAGAACACAAAAGCAGAGAAAUGACAGCAAGCAAAUAGAAGCAACCAAACAGUAAAAUAGGCAGUGUAAUCGACUAUAAAGCCAAAGGAGAAAAUCAAUUGUAAAGGGUUUUUUUUUUAAAAAAAAAUACAAAAAGAUUGUAUUACACGAAUAAAAAGAAUCAAAAAGCAAAAAAAAAAAAAAGAAGGUUCAUCUUGAUUUCCAUUUCUCAUGUUCUUUACGAUUUUCACUUUUUAUUUUUGUUAUUUUUGUUAUUUAUUUAUAAAUCUGUUUUAAAUAAAAGAACGAAAGGUGGAAAGCUUACCUGAAAUCCCUCACGGUUGUGACAUCGGAGAGCCCCUUCUCCGUCGCCGAGGUCUGGCCCGAAAGGGGGUUGAGGGUCUCCUCCCUUCGGCGUCUUUGGGUGUUGGUAAUAUGGCCUUCAGAGGCGCUCCAAGGCCACUGGCCACGGCGGCGGUAGGACGAGUCUCCGGGGAACCUGGUCGUCCACCAUGGGGAGAGAAGGGAGAGAGUUUGGGAGGAUUUCAGUUUUUUUUUCUAAAAGGGAAGGCUGAAAAUGAUUUUUAAAAAAAAAAUUGGGCUUAAAUACAACCUUUGAAACGGCGUCGUUUUUGGGUGGGAGUCCAGGUGCCAAAACGGCACCGUUUUGGACCACCCGUGUGACUUGAUCCAUAACCGGAGGGGAUCCGCGCGUUUUAGACUUAUGGUCUAUUUGUGCGAUCGGUCAUUCCACUUUAUGGACUGUUCUGUUUUAGUUUCCUUUAUUUAUUUUC